rnacentral:rRNA from 1 species
CUGACGUAGGGGCAGGAAGCCGCGGUAAGCUGGAUGGUGGUAGCGGUAAUCGUAGUUACUGGGCGUAAAGCGGGGGCAGGCGGGUUUGUAAGACAGACGUGAAAUCCCCGGGCGUAACCGGGGAACUGCGUUUGUGACUGCAAGACUAGAGUACGGCAGAGGGGGGUGGAAUUCCACGUGUAGCAGUGAAAUGCGUAGAGAUGUGGAGGAACACCAAUGGCGAAGGCAGCCCCCUGGGUCGAUACUGACGCUCAUGCACGAAAGCGUGGGUAGCAAACAGGAUUAGAUACCCCUGUAGUC